rnacentral:rRNA from 1 species
UACGUAGGGUGCGAGCGUUGUCCGGAAUUACUGGGCGUAAAGAGCUCGUAGGUGGUUUGUCGCGUUGUUCGUGAAAACUCACAACUCAAUUGUGGGCGUGCGGGCGAUACGGGCAGACUGGAGUACUGCAGGGGAGACUGGAAUUCCUGGUGUAGCGGUGGAAUGCGCAGAUAUCGGGAGGAACACCAGUGGCGAAGGCGACUUCCUGGCCUGUUCUUGACGCUGAGGCGCGAAAGCGUGGGGAGCGAACAGG